rnacentral:rRNA from 1 species
GUUGAUUUAUUACUAACUCCAGCUUCUAACCUCUAAUAUCUAAUCGUUAGUGGCGACGGGUGAGUAACACGUUGGAACCUGCCCAAAGUAAGGAUAAGCCACCGAAAGGUGGUCUAAUACCUUAUAGUAUCCAUCUCGUAUGGAUUAAAGCUUUAUGCGCUUUGGGAGGGGCCUGCGUUUGAUUAGCUAGUUGGUGAGGUAAAAAGCUCACCAAGGCGACGAUCAAUAGCUGGUUUGAGAGGAUGACCAGCCACACUGGGACUGAGAUACGGCCCAGACUCCUACGGGAGGCAGCAGUAAGGAAUCUUCCACAAUGGGGCAACCCUGAUGGAGCAAUACCGCGUGCAGGAUGAAGCGUUUCGGCGUGUAAACUGCUUUUAUCACCGAAGAUUAUGACUGUAGGUGAAGAAUAAGGACCGGCUAACUACGUG